rnacentral:rRNA from 1 species
UUUUCAUCAGACAAUCUGUGUGAGCACUNNNNNNNNNNNNNNNNNNNNUUCUUUAAGGUAAGGAGGUGAUCCAACCGCAGGUUCCCCUACGGUUACCUUGUUACGACUUCACCCCAGUCAUGAAUCACAAAGUGGUAAGCGCCCUCCCGAAGGUUAAGCUACCUACUUCUUUUGCAACCCACUCCCAUGGUGUGACGGGCGGUGUGUACAAGGCCCGGGAACGUAUUCACCGUGGCAUUCUGAUCCACGAUUACUAGCGAUUCCGACUUCAUGGAGUCGAGUUGCAGACUCCAAUCCGGACUACGACGCACUUUAUGAGGUCCGCUUGCUCUCGCGAGGUCGCUUCUCUUUGUAUGCGCCAUUGUAGCACGUGUGUAGCCCUGGUCGUAAGGGCCAUGAUGACUUGACGUCAUCCCCACCUUCCUCCAGUUUAUCACUGGCAGUCUCCUUUGAGUUCCCGGCCGGACCGCUGGCAACAAAGGAUAAGGGUUGCGCUCGUUGCGGGACUUAACCCAACAUUUCACAACACGAGCUGACGACAGCCAUGCAGCACCUGUCUCACGGUUCCCGAAGGCACAUUCUCAUCUCUGAAAACUUCCGUGGAUGUCAAGACCAGGUAAGGUUCUUCGCGUUGCAUCGAAUUAAACCACAUGCUCCACCGCUUGUGCGGGCCCCCGUCAAUUCAUUUGAGUUUUAACCUUGCGGCCGUACUCCCCAGGCGGUCUACUUAACGCGUUAGCUCCGGAAGCCACGCCUCAAGGGCACAACCUCCAAGUAGACAUCGUUUACGGCGUGGACUACCAGGGUAUCUAAUCCUGUUUGCUCCCCACGCUUUCGCACCUGAGCGUCAGUCUUUGUCCAGGGGGCCGCCUUCGCCACCGGUAUUCCUCCAGAUCUCUACGCAUUUCACCGCUACACCUGGAAUUCUACCCCCCUCUACAAGACUCAAGCCUGCCAGUUUCGAAUGCAGUUCCCAGGUUGAGCCCGGGGAUUUCACAUCCGACUUGACAGACCGCCUGCGUGCGCUUUACGCCCAGUAAUUCCGAUUAACGCUUGCACCCUCCGUAUUACCGCGGCUGCUGGCACGGAGUUAGCCGGUGCUUCUUCUGCGGGUAACGUCAAUUGCUGCGGUUAUUAACCACAACACCUUCCUCCCCGCUGAAAGUACUUUACAACCCGAAGGCCUUCUUCAUACACGCGGCAUGGCUGCAUCAGGCUUGCGCCCAUUGUGCAAUAUUCCCCACUGCUGCCUCCCGUAGGAGUCUGGACCGUGUCUCAGUUCCAGUGUGGCUGGUCAUCCUCUCAGACCAGCUAGGGAUCGUCGCCUUGGUGAGCCGUUACCUCACCAACAAGCUAAUCCCAUCUGGGCACAUCUGAUGGCAAGAGGCCCGAAGGUCCCCCUCUUUGGUCUUGCGACGUUAUGCGGUAUUAGCCACCGUUUCCAGUAGUUAUCCCCCUCCAUCAGGCAGUUUCCCAGACAUUACUCNNNNNNNNNNNNNNNNNNNNCCCGUCCGCCACUCGUCAGCAAAGCAGCAAGCUGCUUCCUGUUACCGUUCGACUUGCAUGUGUUAGGCCUGCCGCCAGCGUUCAAUCUGAGCCAUGAUCAAACUCUUCAAUUUAAAAGUUUGAUGCUCAAUGAAUUAAACUUCGUAAUGAAUUACGUGUUCACUCUUGAGACUUGGUAUUCAUUUUUCGU